CGGGUGAGUAACGCGUGAGGAACCUGCCUCAAAGAGGGGGACAACAGUUGGAAACGACUGCUAAUACCGCAUAAGCCCACAGUGCCGCAUGGUACAGAGGGAAAAGGAGCAAUCCGCUUUGAGAUGGCCUCGCGUCCGAUUAGCUAGUUGGUGAGGUAACGGCCCACCAAGGCGACGAUCCAUAGCCGACCUGAGAGGGUGACCGGCCACAUUGGGACUGAGACACGGCCCAA
rnacentral:rRNA from 1 species